AUGCUCGCUUUGGCAGUACAUAUACUAAAACUGGAACGAUACAGAGACGAUUAGCAUGGCCCCUGCGCAAGGAUGACACGCAAAUUUGUGAAGUGUUCCAUAUUUUA
rnacentral:snRNA from 1 species